rnacentral:rRNA from 1 species
UAGGGAAUCUUCCGCAAUGGACGCAAGUCUGACGGAGCAACGCCGCGUGAGUGAAGAAGGAUUUCGGUUCGUAAAACUCUGUUGUUAGAGAAGAACAGCGCAUAGAGUAACUGUUAUGCGUGUGACGGUAUCUAACCAGAAAGCCACGGCUAACUACGUGCCAGCAGCCGCGGUAAUACGUAGGUGGCAAGCGUUGUCCGGAUUUAUUGGGUUUAAAGGGAGCGUAGGCUGUCUAUUAAGCGUGUUGGGAAAUUUACCGGCUCAACCGGUGGCUUGCAGCGCGAACUGGUAGACUUGAGUAUGCAGGAAGUAGGCGGAAUUCAUGGUGUAGCGGUGAAAUGCUUAGAUAUCAUGACGAACUCCGAUUGCGCAGGCAGCUUACUGUAGCAUAACUGACGCUGAUGCUCGAAAGGGCGGGUAUCAAACAGG